CCCCCUCUCUCUCUCUCUUUCUCCUAGCUCGUAGCGUAUCGCAGCUUCGAAGGCCAUCGCCCUCCUGCCUCUGGAACCCUAACCCUAGCCGGGAGAACUAACGAAAUCCUAGCCCUAGAUUGAAGGAACCCCGAUUCGAUCGCCAUUCACGGAGAGAUCUCCGCCCAUCCGAAGUUGACAUCCUAGGGGUGGACUUGAGCAGGGAAGUAUCUGCUAGCAGGACAUCACCUGUCAUAUAAUGCAUCCAUAAUUUGUGGAAAAUUUGUGUUUAUAAGGUUUGUUUGGUGGAGGCUGGACUCUCUAUGCCUGGAAUGAAUUUACUGAAGAGGUCCACUACUUUGUUAAGGAAGACAACGCAUCCCAGCAUCAUCCAUCUGAAAUUGGAAAUGGAAGUUGGCCGAAUUUCAAUAGUAAUUCACGGGCUGGAAUUCAAAGCCAGAGUGUAAUACCUCUGAAUGUUAAUUCAAGAAAUUCCACUGUUCAGUCUAUAGAUAAAUCCAAUUCCAGAUUUUGGUAACAGUCAACCUGGAAACCAACAGUUAGAUUUGAAAGGAUUUAUGCAUGGUUCUCAAGAUAUUCAAACAAGGCCCAACCAGGCAGAGUUUGUAGAGGAUAAUUCUUUUUCUGAUAGGCACAAUACUGCAUUUAGAGGCGUAGCUACUUUUAGUGCACAGCAGGGUAAUGCUCCUCUACACAGUUCGGGUCUUAUAAGAAAUUCAGAAACACCAGAGGUUGCCCAGGCUCCUGUUAAUUUUGACUUUUGUAAUAGUCAACAGCAGCUCAUUAGGAGCCGCCACCUUGGAACAUCACAACCUCAUCUAAGGCAGCAGCUGGGUUUUAACAACAUGCAGUUAUGGCAACAGCAAUUGAUGUACAAGCAGCUACAAGAGCUUCAGAGACAGCAGCAACUUCAGCAGCUGGAUCAAGGGGAAAGGCAGCAGAAUCCACUUAGCCAGUUAUCUGCUGCUGCG